rnacentral:rRNA from 1 species
UACGGAGGGUGCAAGCGUUGUUCGGAAUCACUGGGCGUAAAGGGCGUGUAGGCGGUCCGCUAAGUCUGAUGUGAAAGCCCCGGGGCUCACCCCCCGGAAGGGCAUUGGAAACUGGCGGACUCGAGUCCCGGAGAGGAAGGUGGAACUCCUGGUGUAGCGGUGAAAUGCGCAGAUAUCAGGAGGAACACCGGUGGCGAAGGCGGUUCUCUGGGCAUUACCUGACGCUGAGGAGCGAAAGUGUGGGGAGCGAACAGG